UCAAGCUAAUAAGAGCGCAAGGGGAAUGCCUUGGCAUCAGGAGCCGAUGAAGGACGUGACAAGCUGCGAAAAGCUUCGGGGAGCUGCAAAUGAGCAAUGAUCCGGAGAUAUCCGAAUGUGGGAACACACCUGAGCAAUACUCAGGUAUCGUGCGGUGAAUAAAAUAGUCGUACGAGGGGAACGCCCUGAACUGAAACAUCUAAGUAGGGGCAGGAAAAGACAUCAACCGAGAUUCCGCUAGUAGUGGCGAGCGAACGCGGAGGAGGCCAAACCGAAGGUCUUAGAUCUUCGGGGUUAGGACUUGCAUCAAGAUCAGAGGUAUCUAACUGAACGGUGUGGGAAAGCCGACCACAGAGGGUGAGAGUCCCGUAAGUGAAAGAGAAGACUGACAGCGAGGAUCCAGAGUACCGCCGGACACGUGAAACCCGGUGGGAAGACGGGUGGACCACCAUCCAAGCCUAAAUACUACCUGAUGACCGAUAGAGGAGCAGUACCGUGAGGGAAAGGUGAAAAGAACCCCGGGAGGGGAGUGAAAUAGUACCUGAAACCUUGUGCUUACAAGCAGUCAGAGCUCGUUAAAGAGUGAUGGCGUACCUUUUGUAGAAUGGUCCGGCGAGUUAUAGUCACUGGCGAGGUUAAGUUAUUCAGUAACGGAGCCGAAGGGAAACCGAGUCUUAAUAGGGCGUGAAGUCAGUGGCCAUAGACCUGAAACCGGGUGACCUAUCCAUGAGCAGGCUGAAGGUGAGGUAAAACUCACUGGAGGGCCGAACCCACGUUCGUUGCAAUGACCGGGGAUGACUUGUGGAUAGCGGAGAAAUUCCAAUCGAACUCGGAGAUAGCUGGUUCUCCCCGAAAUAGCUUUAGGGCUAGCGUUGACUUAGAUUACUGGAGGUAGAGCACUGAAUAGGCUAGGGGGCGAUGAGCUUACUGAACCUUAUCAAACUCCGAAUGCCAGAUAAUUGAUGGUCAGCAGUCAGACAGUGUGAGAUAAGUUUCAUUGUCAAAAGGGAAACAGCCCAGACCCACAGCUAAGGUCCCAAAUAUACGCUAAGUGGAAAACGAUGUGGAAUUGCAAAAACAACCAGGAUGUUGGCUUAGAGGCAGCCACUCAUUAAAAGAGUGCGUAAUAGCUCACUGGUCGAGUGACUCUGCGCGGAAAAUAUAACGGGGCUAAGCGUAUAACCGAAGCUUGGGAAGUCUUUGGACUUGGUAGGGGAGCGUCGAAUACGGGGUGAAGUACGAGCGGAAGCACGUGUGGACUGUAUUCGAGUGAGAAUGCCGGAAUGAGUAGCGAGAAUUAUGUGGGAAUCAUAAUGGCCGAAAAUCUAAGGUUUCUUGGGGAAGGUUCGUCCGCCCAAGGUAAGCCGGGAGCUAAGGCGAGGCCGAGAGGCGUAGUCGAUGCACACACGGUUGAAAUUCCGUGGCCACCGAAAAUUUUAAGCACAGGGACACUUUGAGAUAUCCGAACCCGGGCGUUGGUUGACUCGGGCGAAAGGGAUCGAACAUCAGUAGAGAAGUCGGAGAUGCUCAGAGGCGAGAAAAGCUGUGUGUAUAAUUGAGGUGCCCGUACCGCAAACCGACACAGGUAGAUGAGGAGAGAAUCCUAAGGCCAACGGGAGAAGGGUUGUUAAGGAACUCGGCAAAUUGACCCCGUAACUUCGGGAUAAGGGGAGCCGGCCACGGCCGGCCGCAGUGAAUAGGCCCAAGCAACUGUUUACCAAAAACACAGGUCUCUGCUAAAUCGAAAGAUGACGUAUAGGGGCUGACGCCUGCCCGGUGCCGGAAGGUUAAGAGGAGAGCUUAGCGCAAGCGAAGGUUUGAAUUGAAGCCCCGGUAAACGGCGGCCGUAACUAUAACGGUCCUAAGGUAGCGAAAUUCCUUGUCAG
rnacentral:rRNA from 1 species